CCUCUGCUCCUUGGGACACACAGCCCGACAGCAUCUCUGGGGCCAAAGCCAGUCAGCCAGUAGGCUCAGAAAGGAUUCCUCUUCCACUCUAUCCCCAUUCCCUGCAAACAGCAGGACUCCCAACACCUGGUGUCCAGCCAGGGAGAUGGGACCUCCAGCAUCUCGAGCGAUCUGGGGUUCCUGGCCUUGCAACCCCCACCCCAGAGUAUUUUUUUGAAGCCCCACUACGUACGUACCCAGUCAUCUUUCAAAAUCUACAAGGAACACGGGAAUAAAAUAGGUCCUGCCCUCUGAGAGCCAGCUGUCCACAGGCUGCCUCCAAAGGAAAGAGUGAAGAGCAGACAGACACAGACUGCGACCGCAGGAAGCAGCUCCAGACACACAGGAGACAGGCGGCUGCUGGCUGAACACAGGGUCAUCUGGUCAGUACCCUCGGAGCUGGGCCCAGUGCUAUACCUGGAAGACUGCAGGUGGACAUCACACCAAAAAAGAAAGCCUUGCUGAGAACAGGGAGGAGCCAAGAAGGCUAAGAAAGUAAAGCACUGAUCUCAAGAAAUCCCACUGGAGGAGCGGAUGCUGGGUCUAGGAAGGGAGCAGUGGGGUACAGGAUUAAAGGGGCACGUACAAAAGAGUGGGGUAUGCCUGAGCCUGGCAGAGGACACAGCAAUUCCAGAAAGGAAAGCAAAAUAUGGGGUUGUGAAGGUCUGGGACAGAGCUGAGCCUUUCUCAAGUUCAUCCAUCAGGACUGCCCUCAUCUGAGCUGGGCUCCACCGGGAGCUGGCAGAGACAUCCAAGGCCUUCUGGCAUUUCCUCCCAUGUCUGCAUCUAUCAUGUUUGCUGAUAUUCUCGGGGAAUUGGAUUUUGGACUCCUGGGAGGGAAGGGACAGGGAUAACAGGAUUACAGCACCUCCUGUGCCUUCAACAUACACACACACAGAAUCACAGCAGGAAAGUGAGAUCACAGGCGCUGGCUCUAAGGAGCCUCAGGGUCCCCUUCCCCAGAGACACCCCACAGGGCACAUGUGAGCAGCCGCCUUCCAAAGCUGUGGUCUCUGUGGUCAUCCUACAGGGCUCCUGGAUCCUCUGAGCAGCCCCUCCCUCAUCUUCCGGCCUCCAAGAAGCGGCUUCAAAGUACAGUGGGGAGGCUGGAUGGGGGUGUGCGAGAGUCGCCCCUCACCGUGCACACCUACUUGUGACCUCAGGGCUGACUUGGCUUGGAUCAGCGGCACCCAAGCAGACAAGCUUGCCAACAGCCCCCUUCACCGUCAGAGAUGGCACCAGUGGUUUAAAGCUCUACAUUCAUCCAUCCUGCAGGUUAUUAUUGAGUGUGGGCCAGUGAUGGAAAACGUCACUGCCCUCACUGAGCUCACAUUCUAGUGGGAGACAGAAAACACAAAAUAAGCACAGACGUGAACAAAAUCUUAUCUCCCCAGCCUCUUAGGCUUCGAGUGUCCUAGGGCUCACUCCCCAGGACUCGGUCUUCUCUCCUCUCACCUUCUCCAUCUCUACCCACUGAUGACUCCCCUACGUACAUCUCCAGCCUAGGUCUCCCCUGAAUCCAGACUUAUAUCCAAAUGUCUACUCAAUAUUGCCACUUGGACAUAUAGAACUUUAUUUCAAUUUAACAUAUUUAAAGCUAAGUUCCUAAUCUUUCCCUCAACCCCAAGUUUGCUCCCCACAUAAAUCCCCCACCUCAAUACAUGACAACACAACCCUUCCAGUGGCUGAGGCCUAAGACCUUGAAGUCAUCCUUGACUACUCGUUCUUCUCACACCCCAAACCCAGCUUGUCAAGAAAUCCCAGUGGCUCUACCCACAGAAUAUAAUCAGAAUUCACCCCUCCACCACUCCGCCACACUCCACCACAAGGAUUCUGAGAGAACCACCUUCUCUCACGUGGGUCAUUGCAAGAGAUUCCAAAAUGUUCUCUCUGCUUCCAGUCCUGCCCCUACAGUAGCUCUCAACCCAGCAGCCAGAAGGACCCUAGAUGAAGGCUGUCACGCCUCGGGAAUUGCCCAGGAGGGAAGAAUCACUUGCAGAUGGCCAGGCAAACAGGGAGGGUCCAGGAUCUAACACUAACCCCCAUCUAAUGGGGGGGCAGAAUAGGCCCCCAUUUGGAGAAAGCGCUAUUGCUUUACGGACCAGGAGAGAGAGUUCUGUCCAGAGAGCAAGCUCCAGAUCUCAGGGACACAACCACCUCUGGCAGAAGUCCAAAUAACAGUAAGUGGAAGAAAAUCCAAGGCGGAGAUCUGGGAUGUUUUAGGGAAAAGGGCACAGCAUGGGACGCCUGCUCAGGUAAUUCCCAACAAGCAGGAAAGCAGCAUGAAGAGGAAAAGGUCUUAGACAAACUUACUAGCCCACCUGAGACCAGAGCACCUAAGGAAACCCUCCAGGUGACUUUAAUACUGACUUACUCCAACCCAGAAGGGAACGAACUCUCCCCUUCUGCCUCUGUCUCAAAAAGCCACAAUCAAAACUGAGACCAAAGAGGCUAAGGGGAUGGGGAAGGAGGUGAUGCCAGAAAAAGCAAGACUUACACCUGAAAUCCUGACCCUCCUUGCUGGAGAGUGUUGGGGUGCCUGGCUUUUCCUUUAAGAUGGUCAUCUGCACCUUCUCAUCUUCCAGCCCUCCAGGAGGGCUGGUGCAGUGAAAUGGGCCCAGGGCUUCCCCCAACCCCUUUCCCCAUGCCCUACUAAGAAAACUAAACAGGAACCAGUGUGGGGCCAAGAGAAAGGAGGUAUGUGCAGGAAAGCUCAGGCUUGGACACAAGGGAACUGACAUGAUUUCCUGGGACUUGGAGAUCUACAGAGGGUUUAGGACCAAAUCCCAAUCAUAGUAACCAAUAAUGCAUAUUUACGGGCUAAACAGUCAACAUAUAUUUCCGUAAAGAACAUGGCAGGGAAGUCACAGUCUGAUGUCUGUCUAGCUCCUCCAUGGAGUUAUAGCCAAUGCUUGCAGUCUAAGGCCUGGUGUACGUCUGGCCUGCCUGCCCUUCCGAUUAGAAAACUAGACAAUGGGGAAUGGGUGUGUGGUUUCUUAUUUUCCAACAGUCAAUGCUACAUCCAUUUGCCUUGGUUAAAACUCUCUUCUGAAGCACAAAAAGCAAAUAUACAGACACUAUAAACCACAGCUCCCAGGAGUCUGUCUGUCUCUGAGCUAGAAGUAGCCUCCCCAUGCUGGCUGCCACCACCGCCCAUAGAGCAAACCCCGUGUCACUCUGCUCCUACUCUCAGCUCUAAGGCUCACCCCCACCUCCCCUACCAUCUCCCCUCCCAUCUCUCUGCCCUCCACUUGCCGCUUCUUGAGUUGCCCUGAGCAACAGGGUGUGUGGUCAAACCAUCUCAUUCAGAGGCCGCCUUCAAAUCUUCAUCUCCUGACAUCCUGGGGAGAACAGGUGGAUAGAGGAUAGUGUCUGGUGGCUGCUUGCUCUGUUUUUCUCUCAAACCUCCACUCUAGUGCCCUGGAAAUCUCUGACAAACUCCCACGUUGGUUAGCAAAUCAUCAGUGAGGCCUAGCAGAGCCAGCUUGAGGACAAAGCCGCACCUGUUUGGUGGGGGGUACGAACCCCACAGGAAGGGGCUUCAGAAGGGCAGGAAGUUACUGGAGUGCCCAUUUCGCAAGGCUAACAGUACCCAGCCAUGCGUUCCUUCUGGGCAUGCAGACUCCUAACAGCAGCCAUAAGUACUCACCCAGAGGGUAAUGCCCUUCUGAUACACCCUCUGGGUAUGUAUGUGUUCCUCCAUGUGGGCACACGAGUAGGGGAGGGGGGACUGAACAGUUACCAAUAUUGUGUGACGUAAUCAUGCUGCAUUGGGAGGCAUCCAGUCCAUAAACAACUGCAGAAUAAAAAUGCCACAUGUAAGGGCGCCUGGGUGGCUCAGUCGGUUAGCAACUGACUCUUGAUUUCAGCUCAGGUCACGAUCUCGCGGUUUGUGGGAUGGAGCCCCGUGUCAGGCUCUGCACUGACAG